rnacentral:tRNA from 1 species
GCUGUCGGACUUCGGCUGGUCGCGCCGGAGCCGGUCUUAUAAACCGGUCGUGCAUGGAGUUCGAUUCUCCCCGGCAGCA